AACCACGUGACCAAAGCAAUGGUUUGGUGGGCGGAUCUAGGCGACCAACUCAAGAGAUCCAGGCCAGAGUGACAGGAGCAUCUACCAAUCGUCUUGCUACUUUCCGGUUUGUACGUCCUAAUUCUCUCUGGACCCGGAAAAGUUUCCUCAGACACAGUUCCUUGGUUGUGGGCUUGGUAGUGUCAGCAGUCUGCAGAAUUGCAGCGGGAACCGCGGCCUGGAGUCCCUGGAACCUCCCAGGGGUCAUGCUCCUCAGCCAGUUCUGAGAGCCCUGGAUGGUGAUUCUGAGAGCCCUGGAUGGUGAUUCUGAGAGCCCUGGAUGGUGAAGACAGGAAACUGUAGCAACUUAUCCAGAUCUCCCACUGCCCAACCAGAUCUGCUCACCUGUGAAUCAGAACUAAGAGCCAUGGUUGGCAAAGACAGAGGACAAUGUUGCCAAGGAUACAGAGAAAAGUAACAAGAAGAAUGAAUGCUUCUCUUGAAAAUGCUCCUCAGGGUCAGAUAACAUUCAAGGAUGUGGCUGUGGACUUCUCACUGGAAGAAUGGGAACGUCUUGACUAUGCUCAGAGGGUGUUGUACAUGGAUGUGAUGUUGGAGAAUUACAAAAAUCUGGGUUUUGUGGAGAAUCAUUUCAGGUGUCAAAAAUAUGAGAACAUCUUGGAUCGAGACACACAGCAUAUUGUCCAGAAGCAUGUAAAUAUCCAAGGGAAGUCUUAUAAAUGUCAUGAGCUUGGCAAAAUCAUUCAUGAAUCCAUCCAAAGUACACCUUAUAAAACUAACCUCAGGGAUACAUCGGUUGAAUCAUCAAACCUAAGCAGAAAUGAAACUGGAAACAACAGAGAACCUUGCAAAUGUAAAAACUGUGUAAACUGUUUAACUUCAUGCUCUACCAUGGGCUUAACUCAGCGAAACCUCAGAGGAAAGAAAGAAUACAAUGGUACAGAGCUUGAUAAAGUUUUUGACUCUAAACAAAAAUUCAUGCUCAAACAAACUUAUAAUAGAAAGAAACCUUACAAAUGUAGUGAAUGUGCCAAAUGCUUUCCCAAGAAAUGCAAGCUUAGACAGCAUCAGACAGUUCACACAGGACAGAUACCUUACAAAUGUAGUGAAUGUGACAAAUCUUUUACCCUGAAAGGCAAUCUUAGAAUUCAUCAGCGAAUUCACACAGGAGAGAAACCUUACAAAUGUAGUGAAUGUGGCAAAUACUUUACCCAAAAAUGUAGUCUUAUUAUUCAUCAGAGAAUUCAUGCAGGAGAAAAACCUUAUAAAUGUAGUGAAUGUGACAAAUGCUUCAUCCGGAAAAGCAGUCUUAUAGUUCAUCAGAGAAUUCAUACAGGAGAGAAACUUUACAAAUGCAGUGAAUGUGACAAAUGCUUUACUGACGAGUAUCGUCUUAGAAAUCAUCAGAGCAUACAUACAGGAAGUAAACCAUAUAAAUGUAGCGAAUGUGGCAAACACUUUACUCAAAAAGGCAGUCUUUCAAUUCAUCAGAGAAUUCAUACAGGGGAGAAACCAUACAAAUGUAGUGAAUGUGGCAAACACUUUACCCAAAAAUACAGUCUUAUUAUUCAUCAGAGAAAUCAUACAGGAAAGAAACCUUACAGAUGUAGUGAAUGUGACAAAUGCUUCACACACAACAGUUAUCUUAGAAAACAUCAGAGACGUCAUACAGGAAAGAAACCUCACAAAUGUAUUGAAUGUGACAAAUGCUUCACCCAAAUUGGUGAUCUUAGAAAACAUCAGAGAAUUCAUACAGGAGAAAAACCUUACAAAUGUAGCGAAUGUGACAAAUGUUUUACCUUCAAAAGUGGCCUUAGGAGUCAUCAUAGAAUACACACAGGAGAAAAAGCUUACAAAUGUAGUGAAUGUGAAAAAUGCUUUACCCGUAAAGGUGAUCUUAGAAGACAUCAGAGCAUUCAUACAAGAGAAAAUCCUUAUAAAUGUAGUGAAUGUGACAAAGGCUUUUUCCAGAAACGCAGUCUUAUCAUUCAUCAAAGAAUUCAUACAGGAGAGAAAGGUUAUAAAUGCAGUGAUUGUGACAAACGCUUUACCUUCAUAAGUGAUAUGAAUAUUCAUCAAAGAAUUCAUACAGGAGAAAAACUUUACAGAUGUAGUGAAUGUGACAAAUGCUUUACCAAGAAAUAUCGUCUUAGAAUUCAUCAGAGAAUACAUUCAGGAGAGAAACCUUACAAAUGUAGUGAAUGUGACAAAUCUUUUACCCUGAAAAGCAAUCUUACAAUUCAUCAGCGAAUUCAUACAGGAGAGAAACCUUACAAAUGUAGUGAAUGUGGCAAAUACUUUACCCAAAAAUGUAGUCUUAUUUUUCAUCAGAGAAUUCAUGCAGGAGAGAAACCUUACAAAUGUAGUGAAUGUGACAAAUGCUUCAUCCGGAAAAGCAGUCUUAUAGUUCAUCAGAGAAUUCAUACAGGAGAGAAACUUUACAAAUGCAGUGAAUGUGACGAAUACUUUACUAAGGAGCAUCGUCUUAGAAAUCAUCAGAGAAUACAUACAGGAAAUAAACCUUACAAAUGUAGUGAUUGUGGCAAACAAUUUACCCAAAAACGCAGUCUUACAGUUCAUCAGAGGAUUCAUACAGGGGAGAAACCAUACAAAUGUAGUGAAUGUGACAAAUGCUUUACCUACAAAAGCAGUUUUAAUUUACAUCACAGAGUUCAUACAGGAGAGAAACCUUACAAAUGUAGUGAAUGUAAAAAAUGCUAUUCCUACAAAUGCGAUCUUAGAAAACAUCAGAGAAUUCAUGUAGGAGAAAAAACUUACAAAUGUGAAUGUGACAUAUGAUUUACCCAAAAAUUUAGUCUUCUUACUCAUCAGGGAAUUCAUACAGGAGAGAAGCCUUACAAAUGUAGACAAGUGCUUACCUGCAAAAGCAGUGUUAGAAUUCAUUAGAGAAUUUAUGCAGGAGAAAAACCUUAAAAAUAUAGUGAAUGUGAUGAAUUCUUUUGCCAGAAACAAUCUUAGCACACAUCAGAGAAUUCAUACAGUAAUGAAACUUCAUGAAUGAACUAAAUGAGAAAAAUUCAUUCUCAAGGGAGGUUAUCUUAUAAUUUAUCAAGGAAUACAUAUAGGAGAGACCUUACAAUUGUAGUAAAUGUACAAAUAUUUUACUGUUGACUCAUUGAUUAGAAUACAUCGAAGAAUGCAUACAGGAAAAAAAAACAGAAAUGUAAUGCAUGAGGAAAGGUCUUUACUUAGAUCUCAGAUCUAAAAAAAUACCUGGACAUAUUUAGACAGAAAAAAAUGUGUCCACUGGAAAAAUGUGGCAUGUGCUAUUGUUUGCAACACUUGAGUAGAUAACUAGUAUAUAUAUAUUCAUAUAUAUAUGUAUAUGUACAUAUAUAUAUAUAUUUAUAUAUAUAUGUGUGUGUGUGUGUGUGUGUGUGUGUGUAUGAAACUUGUGAAGGUAUUAAUUACUGCUCAAAUCUUAGAAACUACCCAGAGUUUACACUGAGAGAAACUGAAAGUAUGACAAUGAAGGAAAAAUUUCAUUAAAAGUUUUUACUUGUUCACUUUCAAUUAUAUCAUAAUGAAAACACAGUUGAGAAGCUAGAAGAGUAUGGAAUUGUAUAAAGUUUCUUGGAGACUAAAAUGAUCUAUUUCGAAGAGAAGCUAUGAAAUACAUGCCUCAAAUUUGCUAAUGAAACUGACAGCAUUCGGUAUACUUUACUCAAAUGAAGAUACUCAGACACAUUAUACUUCUUAAAAGAGGAUUUGACAAAGUGAGCCACAAAGAUAGGGUGCUCUUUAUCCUGUAAAUAUGCCUAGAGCUAGGCAGUUUGCUACUAGUGUCCAAUACUCAUAUUCUGUAUCAUAUGCUGGUUUUAAAUUUCAGAAUAGCAAUUGUCUUUGAGUCCCUGAGACUCAUUUCCUAACUCAUUCAUGUACUCCUCUAUAUAAUUCCAAUAAAGCUCAUUGGUUCAACAAGUUGGAA